ensembl:misc_RNA Metazoa_SRP Metazoan signal recognition particle RNA
CCUGAGUAUGGUGGUGCAUACCUGCAGGCCCUGCUACUGCCUAGUAGGCUGGGGUUGGAGGAUUGCUUGAGUUUGGGAGUUCUGAACUAUGCAAGAUUUGAAGCUUAUUGGAUGUCCACUCUAGAUCACCAAUAUAGUGAAUCCCUAGAAGGAGGGGGCCAUCAGGCUGUUUAAAGAGGGGUGAACCUGCCCAGGUCAAAAAUGGAGCAGGUCAAGCUUUUAUGACCAUCAGCAGUGGGAUCGAGCCUAUGAGUAACUGUAGCACAAAUAACUUGGUCAAAUUAGGAAGAAAUAGUCUUUA